CACGUAGGGUGCGAGCGUUGUCCGGAAUUAUUGGGCGUAAAGAGCUCGUAGGCGGUGUGUCGCGUCGGCCGUGAAAACCUGCAGCUUAACUGUGGGCUUGCGGUCGAUACGGGCAUCACUGGAGUUCGGCAGGGGAGACUGGAAUUCCUGGUGUAGCGGUGAAAUGCGCAGAUAUCAGGAGGAACACCGGUGGCGAAGGCGGUUCUCUGGGCCUUACCUGACGCUGAGGCACGAAGGCCAGGGGAGCAAACGGG
rnacentral:rRNA from 1 species